UACAUGCAAGUCGAGCGGACAGAUGGGAGCUUGCUCCCUGAUGUUAGCGGCGGACGGGUGAGUAACACGUGGGUAACCUGCCUGUAAGACUGGGAUAACUCCGGGAAACCGGGGCUAAUACCGGAUGGUUGUCUGAACCGCAUGGUUCAGACAUAAAAGGUGGCUUCGGCUACCACUUACAGAUGGACCCGCGGCGCAUUAGCUAGUUGGUGAGGUAACGGCUCACCAAGGCGACGAUGCGUAGCCGACCUGAGAGGGUGAUCGGCCACACUGGGACUGAGACACGGCCCAGACUCCUACGGGAGGCAGCAGUAGGGAAUCUUCCGCAAUGGACGAAAGUCUGACGGAGCAACGCCGCGUGAGUGAUGAAGGUUUUCGGAUCGUAAAGCUCUGUUGUUAGGGAAGAACAAGUGCCGUUCAAAUAGGGCGGCACCUUGACGGUACCUAACCAGAAAGCCACGGCUAACUACGUGCCAGCAGCCGCGGUAAUACGUAGGUGGCAAGCGUUGUCCGGAAUUAUUGGGCGUAAAGGGCUCGCAGGCGGUUUCUUAAGUCUGAUGUGAAAGCCCCCGGCUCAACCGGGGAGGGUCAUUGGAAACUGGGGAACUUGAGUGCAGAAGAGGAGAGUGGAAUUCCACGUGUAGCGGUGAAAUGCGUAAGAUGUGGAGGAACACCAGUGGCGAAGGCGACUCUCUGGUCUGU
rnacentral:rRNA from 1 species